rnacentral:tRNA from 1 species
UCCCGUGUGGCUCAGUUGGUAGAGCAUGGUAUUUGCAAUGCCAGGGUUGUGGGUUCGAUUCCCACAGGGGAC